GCCUAACUGGUUCAGCAGGUAGGGCAUGUGACUCCUCAUCUCAGGGUCAUGAGUUCAAGCCCCAUGUUGGGCA
rnacentral:tRNA from 1 species